GGUGGCAGAGCAUGGCGAAUUGCGAAAGGCCUAAGCCCUUUAUUCCACACCGGAGGUUCAAAUCCUCCCCCCA
rnacentral:tRNA from 1 species